AGUGAACGCUGGCGGUAGGCCUAACACAUGCAAGUCGAACGGCAGCACAGUAAGAGCUUGCUCUUACGGGUGGCGAGUGGCGGACGGGUGAGGAAUACAUCGGAAUCUACUUUUUCGUGGGGGUUAACGUAGGGAAACUUACGCUAAUACCUCAUACGACCUACGGGUGAAAGCAUGGGAUCUUCGGACCUUGCGCGUUUGAAUGAGCCGAUGUCGGAUUAGCUAGUUGGCGGGGUAAAGGCCCACCAAGGCGACGAUCCGUAGCUGGUCUGAGAGGAUGAGCAGCCACACGGGAAGUGAGACACGGAACAGAAUACGACGGGAGGCAGCAGUGGGGAAUAGUGGACAAUGGGCGCAAGCCUGAUACAGCCAUACCGAGUGGGUGAAGAAGGCGUUCGGGUUGUAAAGCCCUUUUGUUGGGAAAGAAAAGCAGCAGGUUAAGACCCCGCUGUACUGACGGUAACCAAAGAAUAAGCACCGGCUAACUUCGUG
rnacentral:rRNA from 1 species